rnacentral:rRNA from 1 species
AUUGAACGCUGGCGGCAGGCCUAACACAUGCCAGUCGAGCGGAGCGGCGGACGGGUGAGUCAUGCCUAGUCAUCUGCCUGGUCCUUGGGGUUAACUUCCGGAUACGGGCGCUAAUACCGCAUCCUUUCCGUUGUGCCUAGGCCGGAUUAGCUAGUUGGUGGGGUAAAGGCCUACGAAGGCUACGAUCCGUAACUGGUCGGAGAGGAUGAUCAGUCACACUGGAGCAGAGGCACGGUCCAGACUCCUACGGGAGGCAGCAGUUGGGAAUUUUGUACAAUGGGCGAAAUCCUGCUCCAGCCAUGCCGCGUGUGUGAAGAAGGUCUUCGGAUUGUAAAGCACUUUAAGUUGGGAGGCGUUACCAACAGAAUAAGCACCGGCUAAAGAAGUGCCAGCAGCCGCGGUAAUAC